rnacentral:rRNA from 1 species
GAUGAACGCUGGCGGCGUGCUUAACACAUGCAAGUCGAACGGAAAUUCGCUGCUUUUGUGGGGUGCUUUAGUGGCGAACGGGUGAGUAACACGUGAGUAACCUGCCUUUGACUUUGGGAUAACUUCAGGAAACUGGGGCUAAUACCGGAUAGGAUCUCCGGCUGCAUGGUGUGGGUUGGAAAGUUUCGGCGGUUGGGGAUGGACUCGCGGCUCACCAGCCUGUUGGUGGGGUAGUGGCUUACCAAGGCUUUGACGGGUAGCCGGCCUGAGAGGGUGACCGGCCACAUUGGGACUGAGAUACGGCCCAGAGGGAUACGGGAGGAAGCAGUGGGGAAUAUUGCAAAAUGGGCGGAAGCCUGAUGCAGCAACGCCGCGUGCGGGAUGACGGCCUUCGGGGUGUAAACAGCUUUCGCCUGUGACGAAGCGUGAGUGACGGUAAUGGGUAAAGAAGCACCGGCUAACUACGUG